rnacentral:rRNA from 1 species
ACUCCUACGGGAGGCAGCAGUGGGGAAUAUUGCACAAUGGGGGAAACCCUGAUGCAGCCAUGCCGCGUGUGUGAAGAAGGCCUUCGGGUUGUAAAGCACUUUCAGUUAGGGAGGAAGGUAGUGUAGUUAACACCUGGCAUCUUAUUGACUGUACCAUACAAGAAGAAGCACCGGGCUAACUCCGUGCCAGCAGCCGCGGUAAUACGGAGGGUGCGAGCGUUAAUCGGAAUUACUGGGCGUAAAGCGCAUGCAGGCGGUCUGUUAAGUCAGAUGUGAAAGCCCGGGGCUUAACCU